CUGGCCUCUACCUGCCUCCCAUCGCCAUGGCCUUUGAGGGCACGUACUAAUCUGUCCGAGGGGCUGCACCACAUGCUGCAGCGGAGGAGACUCUCCAUUGUCCCUCUUCCACUACCGGCAACACCUCCCCACCCUCUCUGUCGUACCAUGUACCCAAAUUUAGCUGCUGGAGCAACUACAGGUCCUACUAAAUCUCCUCUCUUUUGUUUGCAAGGCCAAGGCCAGGCAUUUAAAAGCAAACAAAAGCAGGGGCCUUGAAAAGCAAACAAAAGCAGGACCAGCAACUACAGGUCGUACUAAAUCUCCUCUCUAUUUGACUUUGACUAAAAAAUUAAUCUCGAGUAAUUGUGUACUCUCAGACUUGGUUGAAAACAAUCAACGAGCAAAUAGUGCAGUUACAUGAUCAGUUGUUUGAUCAGUCAAUAUGGAUUGUUUGCUGACUAAGUGUACCCUAACAUGAGCCAAUAGUGUACCUCACCUUCAGCACGUACUCAUUGUCUGAUGGCAAAAUUUUCAUCUCUAUAGUCCAGUUAAAUCAUUUCUAGAGGUGGCAAAUUCUAAAAUUUUAGCCUUGACUGAAGAUUUUAAACUUGUCAACAAAAAAGUAAAUUCAGAUUAGAUUUGAGCAAGAUAAACUGAAUCUCAUCAAACUAAUUCAGUGUAAAUCUAGAUUGUUGUAAAAUUAAUAGUGUAAAUGCAGAGCAAGAUUUUGUCAAACUGAAUCUUGCUCAACAAAUUUAGUGUAAAUCUAGUCUGAUUCUUGUGUGGUUUAUAUUCAUCAACACUAGUAGUACUCAUGCUUGUAGAAUGCUUAUAUGCAAGGUCUUAUACUAAAAAUAAUUUCAUACUAAAAACUUUGUAGAUUAUCUGUACAAUUCAGUAUAAUGAUUCAGUUAACCAGGGUUUAGUCCUAGUUGGGGCAAGUGCAAAAAUUACUGUCAAGAUGCGUGUAUUUUUCUUAUUGGUGCAAAAAAUCAGUUAAGCAAAUAGUUUUCUUUUCGUUGCGUGCAUGUUGUUCGUUGUUAUAAUGCUAUUCAUCUUAAAAUGAAAUCUGCAUUUGGUGGUGUCACUACUUGUCACAAUAGUACUCCAUGGUUCAGUUUUUCAUUCCCGGGAAGAUACCACAAACUAUAGAACAUAUCGACAAUAAUUAUCUCUCAUAGCACGAAGCUACGAGGAAGUUUCUGGUAACCAUGUACAGCGGCUAAAUAUCUGCAAUAUAUUCAGGCAGUCGAACUCCAAAAUAUUCUGAUUGCUUCUUUCCAAAAAAUGACUGAUCGACUGUUGUCUCCAAAAUAUCCUUUUGUGCUUUCUACUCGACUAGCAAUUUGCCAUGCCUGACCUAGAUAUUGAAUGAGGUUACACUUGGCACAUUCAAUUCAAGUCAAAUCGCCAACAAAUCAAUUGCUAAUUCUAUUUUUAUCAUCAACAACAACAUAGGCGGGCGGGGUAGACUUACCAUCACGAGCAGCAGUGGAGGCGGGGCAAGAAAAAAGGCAUCAUCAACAUCAAAGGUCCAUGGAGACGGCAUCGCCCACUAGCAGCAACAACAUGAGAUGUGGGAGUCGCUGGAAUUUUCCACGGCGCCGGUGGCUGAAGCGGAUGAAGUCUAGGCACAUGGGCGAUGAACGUGGGCGGCGAAGGUGGGCGGCGCAGGUAUUGGGGUUAGUCCGCCACGGGGCCCAACGGGGCAGGUACAGGAGGGCGGCGGCUGUGCGGGUUCACGUGGGCGGCGGCGCAGGUCCAGGUGCAUGCUAUACUUUCAGUCUAUUAGCAACCAAAUUCACUAAUAAUCUAUUGUUCUUGCCUAUACUAAUGGAAGUGAAUAUUUACACUAGGUUUGUGAAAAUUUAUAUUAGGACUGCGAAUAGUUUAGUGGCGAGUAGAUAGAUGAACCAGAGCAUUUAGUGAUUAAAUGGAAUAUAGAUGAAUCAAAUAGAGAGCACGUAGUAAAUGUAGGCAUGAUUUUUUUGGAGUUACGUGCAGAUAAUCCCAGCAUCUACUCAUUUUGACAACACACAAAUUUGAAAAAAAUUCUCAUUCCUAUGAUCCUCAAACAUAUGAGUGCUUUUUCACGGACAAAUGGCAGAAAGUAAGACCACAAGAUGAUCUAGGAUGUUCUUGUGAUCACUUUUGUUCAUAACAUGGUCAACACAUUUUGGUCAUAAGGAAGUUGAUGUUGACUUGGUGAACAUAGACUUGGUCCCUUACAUAAUAUCUUGUAGUAGUCAAGUGAAUGAAGAAUUGGUUUCUUAGGAACUUCGCCAUCAUAUUUUUUAACAUGCCACAUCCUAUAUGUCAGACUUGUGUAUUUCUUGAAUGGUUGUAGAUAACUUGAGUGAAGAAAACUGAUGUAUCUUCUAUAUAUGUUGAAUGAAUGCAUUAAACAAUGAUAUCUUGUGAUGAGUUGAAUAUUUUGUAUCGUGUACUUUAUAUGAAUUGAAUAUUAUGAAGUUAAUAUUGCGUUAAUACAUGGUGCAUUCGCAUGUGU